rnacentral:rRNA from 1 species
AGUGAACGCUGGCGGUAGGCCUAACACAUGCAAGUCGAACGGCAGCACAGUAAGAGCUUGCUCUUACGGGUGGCGAGUGGCGGACGGGUGAGGAAUACAUCGGAAUCUACUUUUUCGUGGGGGAUAACGUAGGGAAACUUACGCUAAUACCGCAUACGACCUACGGGUGAAAGCAGGGGAUCUUCGGACCUUGCGCGUUUGAAUGAGCCGAUGUCGGAUUAGCUAGUUGGCGGGGUAAAGGCCCACCAAGGCGACGAUCCGUAGCUGGUCUGAGAGGAUGAUCAGCCACACUAGAACUGAGACACGGUCCAGACUCCUACGGGAGGCAGCAGUGGGGAAUAUUAGACAAUGGGCGCAAGCCUGAUCCAGCCAUACCGCGUGGGUGAAGAAGGCCUUCGGGUUGUAAAGCCCUUUUGUUGGGAAAGAAAAGCAGCAGGUUAAUACCCCGCUGUUCUGACGGUACCCAAAGAAUAAGCACCGGCUAACUUCGUG